GAGGGUAUAGCUUAAGUGGUGAGGCGAAUGCUUAGCAUGCAUGAGGUCCUGGUUUCAAUCCCCAGUACCUGCU
rnacentral:tRNA from 1 species